rnacentral:rRNA from 1 species
UAACCUGCCCAAGAGAUCGGGAUAACACCUGGAAACAGAUGCUAAUACCGGAUAACAACAGAUGAUGCCUAUCAACUGCUUAAAAGAUGGUUCUGCUAUCACUCUUGGAUGGACCUGCGGUGCAUUAGCUAGUUGGUAGGGUAACGGCCUACCAAGGCGAUGAUGCGUAGCCGAGUUGAGAGACUGAUCGGCCACAUUGGGACUGAGACACGGCCCAAACUCCUACGGGAGGCAGCAGUA